rnacentral:RNase_P_RNA from 1 species
GGAGUAGGCUGGAUGGCCGCGGCCCGGCAUUCGCGUUCCGGGCUGAGGAAAGUCCGAGCUCCAGAGGGCAGGAUGCUCGCUAGCGGCGAGUGGGGGUGACCCCAAGGAAAGUGCAACAGAAAACAUACCGCCGGAAUCCCGCUGAGGCGGGAUGAGCCCGUGUCGACAGACGCGCCGGUAAGGGUGAAAUGGUGCGGUAAGAGCGCACCGGCGGCAGGGUGACCUGCCGGCCUUGUAAACCCCAUCCGGAGCAAGAUCAAAUAGGGAGGCGAUGGAGUGGCCCGCUCCUUUGGCCUCCGGGUUGGAUCGCUUGAGGUGUUCGGCAACGAACAUCCCAGAGGAAUGGCCGUCUCGGUUCCGUUUUUGAGCGGAGCUAGACAGAACUCGGCUUAUAGGCCUGCUCCAAGA